rnacentral:rRNA from 1 species
UACGGGGGGGGCAAGCGUUGUUCGGAAUUACUGGGCGUAAAGGGUUCGUAGGUGGCUUGCUAAGUCAGACGUGAAAUCCCUCAGCUUAACUGGGGAACUGCGUCUGAGACUGGCGGGCUCGAGUGCAGGAGAGGAACGCGGAAUUCCAGGUGUAGCGGUGAAAUGCGUAGAUAUCUGGAGGAACACCGGUGGCGAAGGCGCUCUGCUAGGCCGUAACUGACACUGAGGGACGAAAGCUAGGGGAGCGAAUGGG